GUAUGUACAGUUAUGGUGAAAACAGGAGCAAGCUACGACAGUGUUAACAUUCAUGUUUACUUUCCCUCGUUGUGCGCUGACUGUUACCACAGCCCUUUGAUUCGGAGCAUUUGGCUGUGCUUGGAAAUGCAGAUGUGCCAUUUCAGCAACUGCGGUCCAAAGAGGACAUAGCAGGGCUCCUGUCACAAAGCUGCGUGUGUUUCACUCCCAUUUGCCUCGAACAUCUUGCAGCGCUUUCUGAUGGCAGCGCAGCAGGUGGAGAGCAGACCCACGCCGUUCACGAGGCUGCUCGGAGCAUCCGGAUGUGAGAGCUGGGUAUGAAAAGGGCCCAACACCCGCACACUUAUUUGCUAGUGAAUAGCCUUGGACUAGAGUGGUACAUGUGGGAACCCCAGUGUUUCUGCUGAGAGAAGCUGCUGUGCUUCCGUUUGGCUGCAUGCAAACUGAGUGUGCUUCAAACCCAUCUGCUGGACCAGCUUUCCAAGCAACCAGGGCCGAGAAAAUACCACAACUAAAGCUCUUCUGUGCCAUGGAAAGGCCUUUCUCAGGAGCCUUCUCAUUAUUCCAGGCAAGAAAUGAUGGCAGCUCCUGCAGACACAUCUGAACAGGCUGCACAUCUGAACAGAUGUACCACUGGAAGCCUGGACAGAAAUUGCUCCACAGCCUGGCUGGACUGAGUGAUGAGCUAGACAUGAGGCACCAGAAUCUUUGCUCCAUUUUCUGGAGGAAGGAGCAAGAAAUAAACAAAACAAAACAACCCCCCUUUUGGAGCCUUUCCAACUGCCCAGUUGGACGGAGGGGCCAGGUCUACAAACAAACUGCUGCGAGCCAGGAAGUGACCUGGAUUGGAUUGUCUGCUCCAGCGGAAACACAGAGGCAGUUGCUGCCAGCAGACAAGGGCAUAGUUAUAUAAACAACCCUCGUAGGCACUCCUGGAGUAACUUCUGCUGUAUCUUGAAAAGAGAUAGACACCAAUCCACAGAGUAAAUAUCUGGUCACCAAAUGGCUCAAACUAGUAUCAACCAUGAAUACAGACACAGUGCAGGGUCCUUUUGCUUUUAUGCUUUAAAAGUGCAUAAAUAAAUAAAUAAUUCUGUGACCAACAUAUGGCACAAAUUCACAGUGUGAUUUUAAAUCAAAUCAAAACAAAAUUCCACUGGAAUGCUGAAGGCUUCAUACCUCCAUAAGGACAAUUUCUGUGGCAAAUACCAUUUUCCCACUGAAGCCAUUUGGUGGGUACAGGAAAAUCUAAGAUGCUAGAAAUUCUUCUUUUAACCAGGGCAGGAGGGAAAAAUAAAAGUCAUCUUCAGAAACUCGAACAAGCUGAACUCAGAAGAAGCCUGGAAAACUUUAUCCUGUAAAAUUAAAGUUGCAGAAAGUUAGGAGUAUAUCAAAGCAGAAACUAAAAAUGAGUUUCCUGAUGGUAUCAUCUAUCUAUAAAACAACAUAGAAUUAUCUGGAUCUCCUCACCCCCAUUGUAAGUGGAGUGAUUAUGUCUAUUACAAAUCCCUGUGUAGGUUAAG